rnacentral:rRNA from 1 species
CAAUGGACGAAAGUCUGACGGAGCAACGCCGCGUGAGUGAUGAAGGUUUUCGGAUCGUAAAGCUCUGUUGUUAGGGAAGAACAAGUGCGAGAGUAACUGCUCGCACCUUGACGGUACCUAACCAGAAAGCCACGGCUAACUACGUG